UGAUUUUUUUGAGGAAAUAUUUGUUCUGAUUGCGACCUCGUAAAAAAAUGCUAAAACAGUAAUGUUUGCUACAUU
rnacentral:ncRNA from 1 species